GCUCUACAUAAGAACACCAGCCAAAUUACAAAAAUAUAUAUUGCUCAAAGAAGAAUUAAGAACACACACACAUUUGUUUUUCUAUCCAUGUGGGUAACUAGGACCUGCAUAUACAUGGACUUAGAUCACAGACACAUUUACUUAAGCAUCGAAAUGGGGACAACAAAGUUGAUUGCCCUUACAAAUUGCUACUUUCACUAAUAUUAACACUAAACUUUAACCUUGAUAACUUACAUAACAAGUAAUGCCUCAUCCCAACCCCUAUUUUAUGUUGUGCCCUGAACCAAACACUAAAGACAGGCACAGUAUCCCCAUUACUCAAAUUUUUCUGAUUUAACCAGUUUUGGGACAUCCUAAAUGGUUUCCUGCAACGCUCUGUCCUGCGCUAUAGGCCUACACGAGAUAACUUCCUCUGACAAUCAGCCUGUAACUAUUUGCUACUAGCUACAGCGUCUCUCCGCGGCAUUUGUGCGAUAUACUGGAUUGGUUUAUCUUAAUACCUCAGAUCAUUCGAGAUUUAACAUUCGACAUUUCACGUGACCUGGUUUUAUUAAUCUUCAUCCUCUUCAGCAAAGCCAUCGUUCAUCCAUAUUCUUAGGUCGUGCAAAAAUAACACUUUGACAUUAGUCCUCAGUGGAAUAGCUAGGCUACUAAAAAAAAAAAAACCAUAGCUGCACUGUGGCGGUUAAUUGUUAAAGUCGUUCACGAACGCACACCGUUUUCAGAAGACUUAUCGUUACCUGUCUCGUGCCUAGGAUGAACGUGUGGUGCGCGCGUUCCCGUCAGGAAAAAAAAACGCUUGGGUAGCAGGACUGAGCCCCACACAGCGAAGCUGCGCUCCUCUGGAGAAAUCAAAACAGCUGUCUAGCAGCUAAGACAAGGAACAAUGCGGAUACCGAGAUAAUGCUAAUGUUAUGCCUUGUUCUGGGGUCAAAGUGCCGAGGGAAGUACUUUGGCAUUGUUUAUCCUCCUGUGGCACAUUUCCCACUGCUGUCCAAGUAGUCGUGGGUUGUUCACUAUUUGUUUUUGUCCAACCGAGGAGUGAGGAUUACUGACCGAGUCUCGAGUUCUCUGAAGCGAUUUUCUUUGUAGGUCGGGAAAAUACUUUUUGUAAGCAGGAAUGGCCACGGCACGGUUAGACUAUGUCGCUCCGUGGUGGACGUAUUGGAUGCACAAUUUCCCUCACUUCAACUUGAGCUUCCAGCCUGUUGAAAACACCUUCAGACCGGAGGAAGCGAACUACCAGCAGUCUCUGGUGUUCCUAGCGUGUAUGGCCGCGGCCGGGCUAGCCCUCAGCGUCCUGCUGCUCUCCACCUACCUGACCUGCCUGUGCUGCUGUAGGAGGGAGGAGGAAGGGGAGACCAAAAGGCCGGACUCCUGCUGUGUCUCCUGGACCGCCGUGGUCAGUGGACUCGUCAUAUGCUCUGCCGUCGGAGUGGGUUUCUAUGGCAACAGCGAGACCAACGACGGCGUGUACCAGCUGACUUACUCCCUCCACAACGCCAACCAUACGCUGGGUGGCAUCAACAACCUGGUGAGCUCCUCCCUGGACAGCAUUGAGGUGGUUCUGCAGCAACACCUGAACCGCCUGGACGAGAUAUUUGCUAAGCGGGGAGACUACAUCCAGUCCCUCAGGUUCAUGGGCCAGAUGGCUGACAACAUCAUCAGGCAGCUGAGCGCUGUACCGGACCUUGGCAAGGCCAAUGUGGACCUGUCGUACAUGGCGGACCAGGCGGCCUACGUGGAGUAUUACAGGUGGCUGACCUACCUGCUGCUGCUGAUCCUGGACCUGGUCAUAUGUCUCGUGGCCUGUCUGGGUGUGGCUAAGCAGUCCAAGUGGCUGCUCAUCACCAUCAUGGUGUUUGGAGUGAUAUCUUUGGUCCUAAGCUGGGCCUCGCUGGGAGCCGACACCGCUGCAGGCGUGGGUACCAGUGACUUCUGUGUCUCUCCAGACAAGUUCAUAGUUAACAGGACCAAGAGUUUCCUCAGUGCCGAAGUGUCACACUACUAUCUAUACUGCAGUCCGAGCCUUCCCAACCCCUUCCAACAGUCUCUGACCAUCUUCCAGAGGUCCCUGACCACCAUGCAGAUCCAGACCCAGGGACUGCUCCAGUACUCCGUGCCCCUGUUCCCCACUGCUGAGAGAGACCUCCUGGGAAUCCAGCGGCUGCUGAACUCCACAGAGUUCAACCUGCACCAGCUGACAGCCCUGCUGGACUGCAGAAGCCUGCACAAGGAUUACUUCGACGCCCUGAUGGGGGUGUGCUACGACGGCGUGGAGGGGCUGCUCUACCUCGGCCUGUUCUCUCUGCUGUCCGUCUGCGCCUUCUGCGCCCUGCUGUGCACUGUACCCCGGGCCUGGACCGUCAUGGCCAGCAGGGAAAGAGACUACGACGACAUAGACGAGGAAGACCCCUUCAACCCCCAGUCCCGUCGGGUGGCCUACAACCCCAGCAGGGCCAGCCACGUCCACAGCUUCUGUAGCUACACCAGCAGCCUGGGCAGCCAGACCAGCCUGCACCCUCCGCCUCAGGUCGCCUCCAACCUCCCCACCUCCGAGUACAUGAACCAGUCCAUGCUGUUCGGAGGGAACCCUCGCUAUGAGAACGUGCCUCUGAUCGGGGGGGGGUCCCCUCCACCCAUGACAUUUAGAAACAGUAAGUUGGACUCACACCACCUUACUGUACCUUUAGACUUUCCUGUGCUUGUUUGUUACAAAUAAUAUUCCUUUGUUGUUUCACCAUUCAUCACCCAGUUAUUAAGACGUGGUUUUAAGGCUUACUUCUAAAUCUAGAAGUAGUUCUUCAUUUUAAUUAUUAUCCUUGUAACCAGCCACCUCCGGAGUCUGACAAUUAUUAACAAAUCAGCUUGUUUGGUCCGGACCCCGUUGUGACCUCUCUAAGCUGUAUGACCUCUAACCUCAGCUGUAUGAACUCUGACCUCCAGCGAUGUGGUGUCCUCAGAGUGUAAAUCUUAUUCUCCCAGCAUGAAGACCACCUACCAAUCUAUGACUGAUGCCCAGAUGAGACAGUUUGGGGCGGGCUUGCAGCAGGUGUAGCCCCUGACCAUCACCUGCUACUCCCCCAAGAAGGGUGACCACGGUGGGAUUGACUGCAGUGAAGAGGUUGUGUUUGCAGGCACACCCCACCAUUGAUUCACCUUGCACACUUGUGACUUAAAUGCGGGAGUCCUGGUAUAAAGCCGAAGAUGAACCAAAAACUCUAUGAAAAUAUCUAAAUGUUUUCAAUUAUUAAGGACCUGGUUGAAAAGGUCGCUUUUCUCUGUGAGCAACUUCACCUCCCAUUGUUUUCGGCAGGCAACAAACGACCAGAUUGAUUGAUUGGGUCUGCCGACUGAAACGACUGAAGACAUGAAAUGAAAUUAUGUUGAUUGGUGUUGACAUGCUCUCGGUUGACCUGUCUUCACUCUUGCAAACAGUCAUCUAGCCCAAAAAUAUAAGGCUGGCAGGAAACAGUGGUUACUGUAGGCUCCAAACUCAUUCACCUGAUGGACAUGGUAUUGUCUUGUUUAUUUUAAAUGUCAUUGUUCUCAGUGAAUGGCAAAUAUCAUGGUCUUUUGAAUUUGGACUGGAAAAUUAAAGAACCCCUUAAUGUGAUUAUGUCUAUAUAUAAAUAUAGAU